GGAAGAACCAAAUUUAUAAGCGGGUGCUUGCCAGACAGCAGACCUCUCAGUUAAGCCAAUUAUGUAAAUGGGCCUUGAAGAAUGAUUUGUACCAGGAACAGUUUCAGAUGAAAGCCCUGCUCUUGUAAAGCCUUAUCCUGGGUCUAGACUGUUUUAAUAUUUUUGCUUUCUCUCCAGUUUUGAUUUGAUUUGAUUUUCCUGACUUGUGGAGAAGCUUUCCCUCAUCAAGCAACUGUGGGCAUGCAGAGUAAGACCUUUGUUAAAUGGAUAACUUUCAGGAGGACACAGAAUCAGCAGAAACAAUGGAAUUUUCAUUACUGUGGCAUAUUUUUAAGGUUAAAAAGGUGUUUAGCAAUAAAAUUCCACUGAACUACAGUUGUAUUUAACUGCUCUUCUCCAGGAAUACCAAAGGAAACAUAAAAAAUAGAAUGGGUUUCAUGGCUUGUGUAAAAUGUUUUACUUCUGGGUUUCAUUUCUUAAAAAAGCCUUCCACAUCUGCUAGGUGCUGACAAAUCAAAUCCUCCAUCUAACUAUAGCCACCAUGUGGAACCUGUGGCUAUGUUUAUGACCCCAGCAGCUUCUGCUCCAGGCACAGAGUGAAGAAAUUACGAGUCAUACAGCUGAAGUAUGCACAGAAAAGAUUUCAACCUCAAAUAAAAUCUGGAACUGAAGUUUCACUCCCCUCAUGGAACAAAUGUAUCAAGACUUGGUCAGAACUGAAGGCCAGAACACUUUCAAAAGUGAAGGGGUACAAGCUCAGGAAUGUUAGGUGUUAAGAUCCCUUACCAUACUUUACCAUAUAUGGUCUUGUUUAAAGUUCUUCCAAUCAAGACCUACCCACCAGCACUUCUGCAUACCAGCCUGCUCUCUCUAACCCAGAAAACUUGCCCCAGACUCCAGAAUGGGGAGAUGGAAUUGAGCUUUGUCUCCUGCCUCCUCGCCGCCAACCCCACAAUAAAACCUUUUUUUUUCUUAAAAAC
rnacentral:lncRNA from 1 species